AUUCAGAUGAUCGGUAUGCUAAAAUUUUCAUUUCAUGAAAAUAGGGCAGCAGAAGCAUAAAUUAAAAUAAUUUUAAUUUAUGGCAUACAAAAGAUCUAAUCCUAAUAUCACCAAAGGAUUUAGUUUAGACAUGCAUAAAAAUAUUCAGAUUUGAAAAAUAGAAAUAAAGAAGAAGGGAAGACCGAUUACCUUAAUCACUUUUCCAUCUUCCUGU
rnacentral:lncRNA from 1 species